GGCGGUGGGUGUGCACAGAGCGAACUAUUCUUUGGCCUUUUACUAAAGAAUACCGUGUGCAUGCUGAUGCUCAGUAGUGUACGCCACCCUUUGAAAGGCUCUCGCCUAUACUGGCCU